UCAUGUUUUGGCGGGAUGUUAUCACAUCACCCGAUACCUCUAUAUCUAAAUCAAAUACCUCACCUGUCACGUGGAAUUUGUGCUCGCCCUUUGACCAUAACAGUCUAUGCCUUUGACACACAAACUAUCACAACCUUUCAAAUCUUCAGCGACGGAGGGAUACAGCCUUGUUCAGAGUCAUUGCCGAACUGCUAUCAGCAAACACCACGCUGACCUUUGCACCCGCUCAGCUUUACAGCAGCUGUACAGACAGUGGAAGCCUCCAGCCCGGUGUGCUUGAUUGCUUUGAGUGACGGCUGCGGUCUUGAAAUGCUCCACCCUCCCCCGCAUCUCUUGGGACUCUGGAUGGAGGAAUGUGGCAGGCUUUGGAAGAAGACAAGCCUGCAGCUCGACGGCCUCCUCCCUCCCAACUCUCCCUGCCUGCUCGCCUUCUCACGCACCGCUAAUCCCAGGCAUCUAUCGAGUGACCCGAAGCCCCCACCACUCAGCGAGGCCAUCAAUCAACAACAGCCACGCCAGUAGUGAAGACACCACAGGGUCCGCUUAAACCUUUCACACUUCCACAGAGUCCUGAAAGCACCAACCCCCUGCAAUUUGGGGAUCUUUGCUUUACUUUUAUUAGCUUUUUUGCUAGCUGUUGUCAUGCUCUCUGUAAAUUACACAUCUGGAACCACUGGCGAAGGUAUGCUAAAUGACUUGUUGUAAAAAACAAAAAGUCCCACCCUCCUAGACAAAGAAAAAAAUAGCAACAACGAGAGGAGUAAACUGGACCACAGCUACAUCUUACAUGUUUGAGAAAUGCUCUUGUAAUUUGAUACCAGUCCCACUGCUCAUAGUCCCCCUGUUCCUGUUUUGGCCCCAUACCCCCCCCUCCCAUCACCCCAUUUCCUCCCUGUUACCCUCCUCCCUUCUUGCCAGACAAGACCCCUAUCAAACGUUCAGCUCAAACAGCAGGGCACUGAGAUGGGCAAUUGGCCCCUCACUGUGACUCGAGAUGAGCUUUGCUGAAAACCCGAAGAGAAUGUGCCCAUUACAGCAGCCACAGCUGGACAGCAGCAGCCAUGUCACCCCAGUAAAACAUUCAUUACACUGUUAGCUAGUUAAACAUUUCUGCUACUUGAGUCCUCGUGAAUCACAACUUCCUGACAAAUGGCAGUAAGGCAAAGAAUAGACCUUUUACCCUCAAUGAAGGGCGGCAGGACAAACCCUGGCAAUUUUGUCUUCCUGCCGACUACUAGAUUUUUGGUAUUGUGACACCCCUGCUUCAUAUAUUGUUCCUUGUUUCCCUCUUUUCUUUCUUUUUUACCUGUAGUAUACUAUAUUUAUUCUCGCCUUCCAUGUCAUUUUACCUUGAAGGUAAUAAUAAAUCCUUGUGUGCAAUGACAGCCAGAACUCAUUUACUCUGUCAGUGGACGUUUCAUUUACUGGAUAUUUCCGGUUCCGCCGGAUGUCCCUCAUUUUCGGCCGGAUGUCCUUCACCUUCCGCUUUCUUUCUGUUGGCAUUCUAAACUCUGGUUGAUUCGGGAAACCUCCUCUGAGCUAGAACCAACAAUCAAAUUAUAUUCUUUUUUUUUUUAGUAAAAUUCUCAUCAUGCACUCGGCAGCUGUUGUAAUUAUGGAGCUCUCCUCCCUACGUGCACAUGUUUCACCAUCCGCCAUGUUCCACCUUCCCGAGGCUGUUUUGCAGAGGCACUGCGUCCGGGCUCUUAGCGUCGCCCAAAACUAUUGUAAUU